UCUCCAGCGACGGCAGGCAGAGCCGCCACCCCUCACGCCGGCGGCGGUGAGUGUCUCGACGACGACGGCGGUGUGCAGCUUUUCCGAUGGUCGACGGGCGAAGGGUCUAGCAGCCGCUGGUUUCUUUUGUCAAACACACUCUACAAACCCUAAUUCAGUUCCUCUCAACCUAAUACCCAGCUUCAACAGAAAACCUAGAAGACGAAAGAGAAGGAAACUAAUUUGAUACUAACCUGAUAGCAGCAAUGGUUGCAAGAGGCGAGAGCAAGCAAGAGAGCAGAAUGGUGAACGAUCUAGAACAAAUCCCCUGUUGUAAAGAGACUUCUUUGUUGAGGGGUAUUAUGGUCUUUUGAGUGGGGCACCGACAUUUGUGUUUAAGAAUAU
rnacentral:lncRNA from 1 species